rnacentral:sRNA from 12 species
CCUCUGGACUGUCAUACAAACCUAAGUAGCAUUAGCGAAAAAGGGAUAGGAUGAACGAGGAA